ACGUAGGAGGCGAGCGUUAUCCGGAUUCACUGGGCGUAAAGCGCGUGCAGGCGGCUCGGUAAGUUGGGCGUGAAAUCUCCUGGCUUAACUAGGAGAGGUCGUUCAAUACUACCGGGCUUGAGAGUGGUAGAGGAAGAUGGAAUUCCAGGUGUAGUGGUGAAAUGCGUAGAUAUCUGGAGGAACACCAGUGGCGAAAGCGAUCUUCUGGACCAUUUCUGACGCUCAGACGCGAAAGCUAGGGUAGUAAACGGGAUUAGAGACCCCGGUAAUCCUAGCCGUAAACGAUGUAAACUUGGCGUCGGUGGCUUAAACUCCAUCGGUGCCGUAGCUAACGCGAUAAGUUUACCGCCUGGGGACUACGAUCGCAAGAUUA
rnacentral:rRNA from 1 species